AGCGAACGCUGGCGGCAGGCUUAACACAUGCAAGUCGAACGCAUCCUUCGGGGUUAGUGGCAGACGGGUGAGUAACACGUGGGAACGUACCCUUCGAUCUGGGAUAACUUCGGGAAACUGGAGCUAAUACCGGAUACGCCCUUUUGGGGAAAGGUUUACUGUCGAAGGAUCGGCCCGCGUCUGAUUAGCUAGUUGGUGGGGUAACGGCCUACCAAGGCGACGAUCAGUAGCUGGUCUGAGAGGAUGAUCAGCCACACUGGGACUGAGACACGGCCCAGACUCCUACGGGAGGCAGCAGUGGGGAAUAUUGGACAAGGGGCGCAAGCCUGAUCCAGCCAUGCCGCGUGAGUGAUGAAGGCCUUAGGGUUGUAAAGCUCUUUUGUCCGGGACGAUAAUGACGGUACCGGAAGAAUAAGCCCCGGCUAACUUCGUG
rnacentral:rRNA from 1 species